AUUGAACGCUGGCGGCAGGCCUAACACAUGCAAGUCGAGCGAGCGGCGGACGGGUGAGUAAUGUAUGGGGACUGCCCGAUAGAGGGGGAUAACUACUGGAAACGGUGGCUAAUACCGCAUACUAUCCGAUUACCCAUAUGUGAUUAGCUAGUAGGUGGGGUAAAGGCUCACCUAGUCGACGAUCCCUAGCUGGUCUUAGAGGAUGAUCAGCCAAACUGGGACUGAGACACGACCCAGAUUCCUACGGAGGCAGCAGGGGGGAAUAUUGCACAAUGGACGCAAGCCUGAUGCAGCCAUGCCGCGUGUAUGAAGAAGGCCUUAGGGUUGUAAAGUAAUUUCAGCGGGGAGGCGUUACCCGCAGAAGAAGCACCGGCUAACUCCGUGCCAGCAGCCGCGGUAAUAC
rnacentral:rRNA from 1 species